rnacentral:sRNA from 1 species
CAUGCCCCUUAUACGCUGGGCUACACACGUGCUACAAUGGGUAGAACAGAGAGUUGCAAAGCCGUGAGGUGGAGCUAAUCUCAGAAAACUAUUCUUAGUUCGGAUUGUACUCUGCAACUCGAGUACAUGAAGUUGGAAUCGCUAGUAAUCGCGAAUCAGCAAUGUCGCGGUGAAUACGUUCUCGGGUCUUGUACACACCGCCCGUCACACCACGAGAGUUGGUUGCACCUGAAGUAGCAGGCCUAACCGUAAGGAGGGAUGCUCCGAGGGUGUGAUUAGCGAUUGGGGUGAAGUCGUAACAAGGUAUCCGUACGGGAACGUGCGGAUGGAUCACCUCCUUUCUAAGGAGACAAUGUCUUUCUCUAUUCUAUUGGUAAUGUUCUUACAUUACUUCUGAACAUUGGAAACUAUAUAGUAGAACAAAAAUAACUCUAAACAAUUUCUUAGAGUUAGCUGUCAAAAAAAUAGAUUAAAAUAAUUAAGGGCACACAAAGGAUGCCUAGGUAGUAAGAGCCGAUGAAGG